rnacentral:rRNA from 1 species
CCGCACGCGCGCUACACUGGAGUAAUCAGCGUGUUUCACCGUCCCUGUCCGAAAGGACCGGGUAACCGCUGAACCUACUCCGUGGUUGGGAUUGGGGACUGCAAUGAUCCCCAUGAACCAGGAAUCCCUAGUAGGCGCGGGUCACUAGCCCGCGUCGAUUACGUCCC